rnacentral:rRNA from 1 species
CCUACGGGCGGCAGCAGUAGGGAAUCUUCCACAAUGGACGAAAGUCUGAUGGAGCAACGCCGCGUGAGUGAAGAAGGGUUUCGGCUCGUAAAGCUCUGUUGGUAGUGAAGAAAGAUAGAGUUAGUGACUGGCCUUUAUUUGAUGGUAAUUACUUAGAAAGUCACGGCUAACUACGUGCCAGCAGCAGCGGUAAUACGUAGGUGGCAAGCGUUGUCCGGAUUUGUUGGGCGUAAAGCGAGUGCAGGCGGUUCAAUAAGUCUGAUGUGAAAGCCUUCGGCUCAACCGGAGAAUUGCAUCAGAAACUGUUGAGCUUGAGUGCAGAAGAGGAGAGUGGAACUCCAGGUGUAGCGGUGGAAUGCGUAGAUAUAAGGAAGAACACCAGUGGCGAAGGCGGCUCUCUGGUCUGCAACUGACGUUGAGGCUCGAAAGCAUGGGUAGCGAACAGGAUUAGAUACCCUGGUAGUC